rnacentral:tRNA from 1 species
CGGGACGUAGCGCAGUUUGGUAGCGCACUUGACUGGGGGUCAAGGGGUCGUGGGUUCAAAUCCCGCCGUCCCGACCA